AGAGCUGCAUUUCUGUCGGCUCUAAAUGAAGUUAGCCCGUCCAGUUGAAUGGCGGCAUCCGGAACUCUGUCGCUGAGCCACGUCUCCGUGAAAACAAACACGCAGCAGUUUCUAAUCUCUCUCCGGGUAGAGCGUUCGAGUCGUAUGUAGUCCAGUUUAUUGUCCAGGGAGCAAAUGUUGGCUAGUAGAAUGGACGGGAGAGCCGGCCGGCUAGGGUUUGUUUUUAGCCUAGCACGGACCCCCACCCGCUUACCGCGCUUCCGCUUCCUUGCGCACCGCUUUCGGCAUCCCCUCUCCUGGUCUCUGGUAUCAGGUGGUACCGGGGACUGGAGGCCUGGUCUCCGCAGCAAGCCGAGGUCACGUAGCCUAUACAGUACAUCAUCGUGCAGGUUGGUUGUUACACGAUUUCUGUACUUUAUUAGGUCCUGAUGGUUCUAUACAUGAACACCGCUGUGCCUGGCAUCCAUGCAUUUGUCUCACAAAGAACAAAGAGAAGAUCCAAUACAAGGUGAACAGUGUCAAAUACAUGGGUCAUGUUGUGACAUCAGAGGGUGUCAAAGUGGACAGUGCAAAAGUUAAGGCAAUAGUUGACAUGCCAUCCCCCACAGACAGACCUGCACUGCAACGCAUGCUUGGGAUGAUCAAGUAUCUCGCACAAUACAUACCCGGAGAAGCGACAGCCACAGCGCUGCUGAGACAACUGCUGAGAAAGGACAGUGUAUGGCAAUGGCAACAUGAACAUGAGGAAGCUGUAAAGAACCUAAAAAAAUGCGCUCGUAACAGCCCCUGUUCUUAAAUUCUUUGACCCAAAGAAAGCUGUCGUGAUACAAGCAGAUGCAUCCAAGGACGGUCUAGGCGCAUGUAUAAUGCAAGAGGGACAUCCUAUCGCCUAUGCAUCCAGAGCUCUUACUGACACAAAAAAAACUAUGCACAGAUAGAGAAGGAGCGUCUGGCUAUCAUGUUUUCAGUGAAACGUUUUCAUCAAUACGCCUAUGGAGUCAAAGUUAAUGUGCAGUCGGAUCACAAACCUUUGGAAGCAAUCUUAAGAAAGCCACUUGGAACAGCUCUGUCCAGACUUCAGCGGAUGCUACUUCAGCUGCAACGCUACGACCUGAAUGUAAUCUACACGCCAGGUAGAGAGCUACUGAUAGCAGAGACACUCUCACGAGCAACGACACGUGAGCAACAGAGACAGGAUGAUAUAUUUGAUGAAAAAGUGAACUAUGCCCUUGAGCCAACAGAGGCCUUGAGCCCAGAGACUCUGAUGCAGUUAAAGCAUGAGACACAAAAGGACGUCAUAUUACAAAUAUUGCUGAUUCACAGGCACGGUUGGCCACAUCACAGAAAACAAGUUGACAAAAAAGUGAUACAAUACUGGCCUAUUAGACACUCGGUGUCAAUAAGAGAAGGAAUAUUGUUUGUGGGAGGCAGAAUUAUUCUACCGAGUAAAAUGAGGUCAGACAUGUUACAGAGGCUGCAUGCGGCACACCAGGGUAUGCAACGCACCAAAGCUCUAGCCAGAGUACACUGGUAUUGGCCAGGUAUGACAAGAGACAUUGAAAAAAUGGUGGAGUCAUGUGCAACUUGCCAGCAGUUCCAGCCUCGCCAUCAGAGGGAGCCGAUGAUCUCUCAUGAAAUCCCAGAGCUUCCUUGGCUGAAAGUAGGAGCUGACAUAUUUGAAAUCAAUGGUCACUCAUUUCUUCUGGUUGUGGAUUAUUUUUCCAAAUACCCAGAAGUACAAAACAUCAGUGACAAAACGACACACACAGUUGUUAACAAGAUGAAAUCGAUAUUUACCAGAAUGGGUAUACCUAAAGAGAUUGUAUGCGACCAUAUGCCUUUUGCAAGCCAAGACAUGAGAAAGUUCGCCACAGCAUGGGGAAUUAAACUCACUCACUCCAGCCCAGGCUAUGCGCAGUCAAAUGGCCUGGCGGAGAGAACUGUGAAGACUGUUAAGCAGCUGUUAAAAAAGGCCAAGCAAACCAACACUGACCCAUUUCUGGCACUUCUAACUCUCAGGAACACACCUGUCACAGGUAUGGGUUAUUCUCUAGCACAACUGCUUAUGGGCAGGGUCCUGAGAAGCACUUUACCCAGCUCAAGCACAGUACUCCAACCUGCAGUACCAACUAAUGCACGUUCUACUCUUCAGGACCUCCAAAGAAGACAACAUGCUUAUUACAACAGAGGCACAAAGAAACUUCCAUUGCUGCCGUCAGGUGAGACUGUUCACAUGCAAACUGAACAAGGAUGGCAUCCUGCUGUUGUCAUGGCGAUACGUGCUGAACCGCGUUCCUACGACGUAGUGACAUCUUCAGGACAACAGUACAGACGCAACAGGAGACACCUAAGGAAGACACCUAGCGACAUUCAGGUGUACACUGAACCGGACCGUCUUGAGGCUGAGAUAGACAGCACCCCGGUCACUCCUACCGGUGCUGAUGAGACUGCGUGUGUACAAUCUUCUUCUCCUCCACAGAUACGUCAAACCAGAAGUGGCCGAGUUAUUAGGCCACCGGUGAGAUUCAAGGACUACGUGUUAAGCCAAUGAGUGCAUACAAUACUGGGUGUAUGUUGUGUUUAUAUAAAAAAAAAAAAGAGGUCAUGGUAGAUAUACAAUGGUAUGUUUAGUUCAGCUUAAGUUUAAUGUAUCCCUGAUUGAUACACAUGGAAAUAUUAUUUCAGCCAAGUUACAUUUUACUUAUUCAUCUUCCCUGCUAAAGAUAAACUUUUGUUUUUUUUUUAUUAUAAGAAAGGAGGAUGUAGUAUAUUGUACUGCGCACAUAUACUUAUGUUAAAAAACAUUUAAAAAUCGUUCGUUAGGGAUUAAAAUGUCUCCACAAAUUAAAUAUAGUAAUACCAACAAAUGUUGACUUCCAGGGCUCCAUGAGGGAAGCAGCAUAUAAAUCAUACAGAAUGAUGGUUUUUGAAAGAUAUAUAUCUAUAUAAACCAUUUGUCUCAAUGAAGAAGUAGUUAAGUUGUUUGUUUGUUUUUUUAGUAAAGCGGUAAUGUGAAGAGAUAUUACCCAGCAUCAGCGUUGCUAUGCAACCUUUAAAGCAACUAUGUUCACGAAGGUAAAUUUAGUUCCUGCACUUUCCAAAAAUAAAUGUCGCAAUGUUUUCGACUACAUUAUAUACCUUACAGUGUUUAUCGAAAUUAGUAUAAGUGCAUGUGUUCCAGAUCAUCAUGUUUUUUCCACCGUAAUUAGGAUUUUGUUUUGGGGUAAAUAAAAAGCUUCCGCUUCUACACGACGAAUCUGCUGAUCACUGGGAAUCAGAAUGUUGGCAUACGUGAGGUACCUGGAUGACGGCUGCACGGCAGUUGUUUCAACUAGCGAUAUUAAGGACUUUAAUUACGACAUGUUUGACCAAACUCAGGUUUAUUGGGUACGAUGGAAGCAAGACUUCUUCAGGGCACAAAUACUAAUGCUUAAAGAGAAUAAAGAAGACAUAGAGCAGGAGUUGUCUAAAGGCAAACAACUCCGGGUAGCACCUCUUAAAAAAACACGGUCAUCACCACCACAUACUACUUGUUCCUCGCUAAAAGAGAGCGCAUAAGCUAAGACCAA